rnacentral:rRNA from 1 species
UACGGAGGGUGCAAGCGUUAUCCGGAUUCACUGGGUUUAAAGGGUGCGUAGGAGGGCAGGUAAGUCAGUGGUGAAAUCUCCAAGCUUAACUUGGAAACUGCCGUUGAUACUAUCUGUCUUGAAUACCGUGGAGGUGAGCGGAAUAUGUCAUGUAGCGGUGAAAUGCUUAGAUAUGACAUAGAACACCAAUUGCGAAGGCAGCUCGCUACACGAAUAUUGACUCUGAGGCACGAAAGCGUGGGGAGCAAACGGG